CUGCUUUUCCGCCGUUGAUACUGAGAGAGAGAGAGAGAGAGAGAGAGAGAGCAGCGGAAGUGCGAAGAGCGAAACCCUAGACGCCGUCACCAUGUCUCUGGUCGCGAACGAGGACUUUUCAGCACAUUCUUCGUGUUCUGAACACGAACGUCGAUGGAAAGCAGAAGAUCAUGUCCGCGCUUACCUCCAUCAAGGGUAUCGGUCGCCGCUUCGCCAACAUCAUCUGCUAAAAAGCCGACGUGGACAUGAGCAAAAGGGCUGGUGAGCUGUCGGCUACUUGAUGUCAGUGGUUUUCAAUCCACGCCAGUUCAAGAUCCCAGAUUGAUUCUUGAACAGAAAGGACUAUAAGGAUGGCCGGUACUCUCGGAUUGUUUCAAACGCAUUGGACAUGAAGCUCAGGGAUGACCUUGAGAGACUGAAGAAGAUAAGCCGACAUGUACGCGAGCACGCAAGCCGACAUGAAUACACAGCACGCGGGGCUUUUCCGCCAAAGGCCAUCCGAUCGAACACCAGAGAAUGCUGUCGGUAUACGAUAAAGCCAGCGCCAAUGGGCGAAGAGGACGCUUCCGUCGAUGUCGGAUUCUUAAAAGUGUGUUGUUCUCCGCACCGAGUCGUUGAUAGAGAACUUCCCACUCGUAGUUCAUCCUCUUCCUCUUCCCUCUGAACGUAGUCGUUUAACGCAGUCGUUUUUUCAACCCAGUCUCGCAAAAUUUCGAUAUCUGGAGGAAUUGUGGGAGCCGUGACAAAAAGUUGCAGUCUUGGUUGCUGGGAUUCCAUUUCUUUGCUCCAUAUUUUUCCCUCUCUAUUUUCUUCUGAUGUAGCCUCACCUAGGUAUCUUUCUUCUGCUUUUCCUGGGGGUUCUCCUUUCGUUGCUUGAGGCGAUCCCAAAGUGGCCGCAUAGUCCAAUCUUCGCGCUGAAAGCUGGUGCUUUUGACUCUGGGAGAGGUGAGGUUGCUCCUUGUUUCGGUGCUUGCAUUGGUUUUCAAUCCUUUUCUGAUCUUUUUAGGCCGAUUCUGAGACAUUGGAGGUUUCCGUCGAUGAAAUUGUUCUUGGUCUUGAUCAGAAGUUUGUGGUUUGAGGGCAUUUCUUCUUCAAAAUCCCCCUUUUUGAGGUCGUAAAAUGAGCCUUCGAUGGUUGAUCUGACAUGAGGCUUUCAUCCUGCAAUUGCCACUAUCCCCUAAUCUGCUGCUGCAAGUCAUCCUCCCGCUAUUACCCGCCUUGCCCUCCGAAGUCGCAAUGGGGAGAUGCCGAAAACGUUUCCUCGAGCCCUGCUCCAGCUUCGACCAUUUUGGCGAAGAAGCCUUCUGAAGAAAAGGUUGUGGUUGAGCAGACCAGUCCCGAGGGCGGGAAAGAUGAGAUCUCGCUGAAGAGCAGCCUAAAGAAGCCAAGAUCAUCGGAUUUAGAACCGUUCGGAAAGGGAAAUGUCAAAUGGCUGGACUUACUGGGGAAGGAGCUUGUUGAGAUCAAGGAAUUUGAAGCAAUACUUUGGAAUUGACGGGUUGGAUAUCUGUCUCCUAAGUUUUUGAGGAAUCUUGAAAGGACAAUAAUUGUGAUGAUUAAAGAAGAGGAAAGCAACACUGAGAAUGAAAGAAGGAAAGCAACACUGAAAAAGGCACUUACUAACGUCAAUGCUAAUUUGAUUUACACUGCUACAUAGAAGAAUGACCAUGCAUUCUAGAUAUUAAUAGCUGACGUUGUUAUGUUGCCUCAAUGAUAAAGAAUCAGAUCAGCGAGUCUUAUUUUUCUCCUUCGAUGUCACUGAUAUGGAAACUGCAUUUUGUAUCUUGAACCUGCAAUUGGCUUGAUGAGGAGAUUUGUCUUGAGCAACUGGCCUGAUCUAGUGAGUCUGAAGAAUCAGAGGAUUAUGCUGAUGACAGCACAGCUUGCAUUUGUGUUAUUCAAUGACAAUAAUUUACUUCUCUGAAAGUCUUCCCGGCAAAGAACUAGAGAGCAUCAAUCAUCUAGCUGCCAUUAAGAUCUGCUCGAUGUUCUGAUUCUGCGAGUUCAUUUUUGUCGAGAAUCGAUUUAGCCAUCAACCAUCCAGCUUUCCUGCUCUUUAAAAUUCCCUUCAAGGUUUGAAGAAAUUUGUCCUAAUCCAGCAGAUGCUAUUGGUCUCAUUGGCAUCCAGCUCUGGAGUUGGAUGGAGUAGAUGCCGCAGUUCAUACAUUGGAUGCAGUUGGAAGCCAUCGAUGUAUCUGACGUCCAACCGAGAUGGCAGAUGUAUUUUUGGUGCAUUUCAUAUGUUGGAUUCUAGCUGAAGUGAUUGUUCAUUUUUUUUGUUAUUCUUUUUCACUUUGUACUUGUUGAUCAGUUGAUAUUGGUUUUAAUUUUUCUUUUCUGCAUGAAGAUGAUGCUUGCUGUUUCACACUCUACCUUUUGAAUUCUAGAUGAAAUAUUUAUCCA